rnacentral:rRNA from 1 species
AACGAACGCUGGCGGCAUGCCUAACACAUGCCAGUCGAACGAGACCUUCGGGUCUAGUGGCGCACGGGUGCGUAACGCGUGGGAACCUGCCCUUAGGUUCGGAAUAACUCCCCGAAAGGGGUGCUAAUACCGGAUAAUGUCUUCGGACCAAAGAUUUAUCGCCUUUGGAUGGGCCCGCGUUGGAUUAGCUAGUUGGUAGGGUAAAAGCCUACCAAGGCGACGAUCCAUAGCUGGUCUGAGAGGAUGAUCAGCCACACUGGGACUGAGACACGGCCCAGACUCCUACGGGAGGCAGCAGUGGGGAAUAUUGGACAUUGGGCGAAGGCCGGAUCCGGCAAUGCCGCGGGAGUGAGGAAGGCCUUAGGGUGGUAAAGCUCUUUUACCCGGAAUAAUAAUGAAGGUACCGGAAGAAUAAGCUCCGGCUAACUCCGG